rnacentral:rRNA from 1 species
CGAAGGGGCUAGCGUUGUUCGGAAUGACUGGGCGUAAAGCGCACGUAGGCGGACAUUUAAGUCAGGGGUGAAAUCCCGGGGCUCAACCUCGGAACUGCCUUUGAUACUGGGUGUCUGGAGUGUGGAAGAGGUGAGUGGAAUUCCGAGUGUAGAGGUGAAAUUCGUAGAUAUUCGGAGGAACACCAGUGGCGAAGGCGGCUCACUGGUCCACAACUGACGCUGAGGUGCGAAAGCGUGGGGAGCAAACAGGAUU